AGCAGCCGCGGUAAUUCCAGCUCCAAUAGCGUAUAUUAAAGUUGUUGCAGUUAAAAAGCUCGUAGUUGAAUUUCGGGGUCAGUAGGUUGGUCAUGCCACUGGUAUGUACUGGUCUCACUGAUUCCUCCUUCCUGAUGAGCCGUAAUGCCAUUAAUUUGGUGUUGCGAGGAAUCUGGACUGUUACUUUGAAAAAAUUAGAGUGUUUAAAGCAGGCUCACGCUUGAAUACAUUAGCAUGGAAUAAUGAAAUAGGACGUUUGAUUCUAUUUUGUUGGUUUCUAGGAUCGACGUAAUGAUUAAUAGGGAUAGUUGGGGGCAUUAGUAUUCAAUUGUCAGAGGUGAAAUUCUUGGAUUUAUUGAAGACUAACUACUGCGAAAGCAUUUGCCAAGGAUGUUUUCAUUAAUCAAGAACGAAAGUUAGGGGAUCGAAGACGAUCAGAUACCGUCGUAGUCUUAACCAUAAACUAUGCCGACUAGGGAUCGGAUGAUGUUAAUUUUUUAAUGACUCAUUCGGCGCCUUACG
rnacentral:rRNA from 1 species